rnacentral:tRNA from 1 species
UGCUUUUCUAGUAUAAACAAUACAAGUGGCUUCCAAUCACUAAACCCCGGGCCCUGACCUUGGAAAAAGCA